ensembl:lncRNA
CAGGAGAUAUGGUGUGUUGGGGGGCUGUCUGUAUAGCUGGGGAUGAUGUUUCAGGAGAUAUGGUGUGUUGGGGGGCUGUCUGUAUAGCUGGGGAAGAUGUUUCAGGAGAUAUGGUGUGUUGGGGGCUCUGUCUGUAUAGCUGGGGAAGAUGUUUCAGGAGAUAUGGUGUGUUGGGGGGCUGUCUGUAUAGCUGGGGAAGAUGUUUCAGGAGAUAUGGUGUGUUGGGGGCUGAUAUGGUGUGUUGGGGGGGCUGUCUGUAUAGCUGGGGAAGAUGUUUCAGGAGAUAUGGUGUGUUAGGGGGCUGUCUGUAUAGCUGGGGAAGAUGUUUCAGGAGAUAUGGUGUGUUGGGGGGCUGUCUGUAUAGCUGGGGAAGAUGUUUCAGGAGAUAUGGUGUGUUCUGGGGGCUGUCUGUAUAGCUGGGGAAGAUGUUUCAGGAGAUAUGGUGUGUUAGGGGGCUGUCUGUAUAGCUGGGGAUGAUGUUUCAGGAGAUAUGGUGUGUUAUAGGGGCUGUCUGUAUAGCUGGGGAAGAUGUUUCAGGAGAUAUCUGUAUAGCUGGGGAAGAUGUUUCAGGAGAUAUGGUGUGUUGGGGGGCUGUCUGUAUAGCUGGGGAUGAUGUUUCAGGAGAUAUGGUGUGUUAGGGGG